UCCCUGGUGGUCCAGUGGAUAAGACUCCAUACUUCCAAUGUGGGGGACACAGGUUCAAUCCCUAGUCAGGUAA
rnacentral:tRNA from 1 species